rnacentral:rRNA from 1 species
GAUGAACGCUGGCGGCGUGCCUAAUACAUGCAAGUCGAGCGAACGGACGAGAAGCUUGCUUCUCUGAUGUUAGCGGCGGACGGGUGAGUAACACGUGGAUAACCUACCUAUAAGACUGGGAUAACUUCGGGAAACCGGAGCUAAUACCGGAUAAUAUUUUGAACCGCAUGGUUCAAAAGUGAAAGACGGUCUUGCUGUCACUUAUAGAUGGAUCCGCGCUGCAUUAGCUAGUUGGUAAGGUAACGGCUUACCAAGGCAACGAUGCAUAGCCGACCUGAGAGGGUGAUCGGCCACACUGGAACUGAGACACGGUCCAGACUCCUACGGGAGGCAGCAGUAGGGAAUCUUCCGCAAUGGGCGAAAGCCUGACGGAGCAACGCCGCGUGAGUGAUGAAGGUCUUCGGAUCGUAAAACUCUGUUAUUAGGGAAGAACAUAUGUGUAAGUAACUGUGCACAUCUUGACGGUACCUAAUCAGAAAGCCACGGCUAACUACGUGCCAGCAGCCGCGGUAAUACGUAGGUGGCAAGCGUUAUCCGGAAUUAUUGGGCGUAAAGCGCGCGUAGGCGGUUUUUUAAGUCUGAUGUGAAAGCCCACGGCUCAACCGUGGAGGGUCAUUGGAAACUGGAAAACUUGAGUGCAGAAGAGGAAAGUGGAAUUCCAUGUGUAGCGGUGAAAUGCGCAGAGAUAUGGAGGAACACCAGUGGCGAAGGCGACUUUCUGGUCUGUAACUGACGCUGAUGUGCGAAAGCGUGGGGAUCAAACAGGAUUAGAUACCCUGGUAGUCCACGCCGUAAACGAUGAGUGCUAAGUGUUAGGGGGUUUCCGCCCCUUAGUGCUGCAGCUAACGCAUUAAGCACUCCGCCUGGGGAGUACGACCGCAAGGUUGAAACUCAAAGGAAUUGACGGGGACCCGCACAAGCGGUGGAGCAUGUGGUUUAAUUCGAAGCAACGCGAAGAACCUUACCAAAUCUUGACAUCCUUUGACAACUCUAGAGAUAGAGCUUUCCCCUUCGGGGGACAAAGUGACAGGUGGUGCAUGGUUGUCGUCAGCUCGUGUCGUGAGAUGUUGGGUUAAGUCCCGCAACGAGCGCAACCCUUAAGCUUAGUUGCCAUCAUUAAGUUGGGCACUCUAAGUUGACUGCCGGUGACAAACCGGAGGAAGGUGGGGAUGACGUCAAAUCAUCAUGCCCCUUAUGAUUUGGGCUACACACGUGCUACAAUGGACAAUACAAAGGGCAGCGAAACCGUGAGGUCAAGCAAAUCCCAUAAAGUUGUUCUCAGUUCGGAUUGUAGUCUGCAACUCGACUACAUGAAGCUGGAAUCGCUAGUAAUCGUAGAUCAGCAUGCUACGGUGAAUACAUUCCCGGGUCU